ACAAGUUCACUUACUAUCAAAAAAUUUAGCGGACAAGGUCACUUCCACGAACUUCUUUUUUCCCUCUCUCUAUCCCGGUUUCUCCUCUGCCCCCUUUCUGUCAAUGUUUUCUUUCUUCUUCGGACACUGAAUAUUUGGCGUGACCGUCUCCUUUUUCUGGGACUCUUUUUUAUUUCAAUGCUUCCAGCAAAAGACCAGAGACACCAACCCUUUACUGUAAAAUUACAAGUCCAACC
rnacentral:lncRNA from 1 species